rnacentral:rRNA from 1 species
ACUCGAGUGGCGAACGGGUGAGUAACACGUGGGUGAUCUGCCCUGCACUUCGGGAUAAGCUUGGGAAACUGGGUCUAAUACCGGAUAAGAGCCAUUCUUUAGUGUGUGGUUGGAAAGUUUUUUCGGUGUAGGAUGAGCUCGCGGCCUAUCAGCUUGUUGGUGGGGUAAUGGCCUACCAAGGCGGCGACGGGUAGCCGGCCUGAGAGGGUGUACGGCCACAUUGGGACUGAGAUACGGCCCAG